rnacentral:rRNA from 1 species
UGGGUAACCUGCCUUAUAUGGGGGAUAGCCUUUCGAAAGGAAGAUUAAUACCGCAUAAGAUUGUAGUAUCGCAUGAUAUAGCAAUUAAAGGAGCAAUUCGCUAUAGGAUGGACCCGCGUCGCAUUAGCUAGUUGGUGAGGUAAUGGCUCACCAAGGCGACGAUGCGUAGCCGACCUGAGAGGGUGAUCGGCCACAUUGGGACUGAGACACGGCCCAGACUCCUACGGGAGGCAGCAUG